GUUUACAUCUGUCAAAAUAAAAAGUUACUAAAUGGCGAAUAUUGUGUUGAAAUUUAUUAAAGAAACUACGCUCGACUGGGUAUUUAUAAUUACUUUUUGCAGCUCUAGUACUUUUUUUAGAGCGGCUGGCGGCCACCAGGCAGCGCCACAUUUUUUGGAAAAAAGUGGGGGGCACCCUCGAAGAAUGGCCUUAACGGUGUGAUGAAGUUGUUGACCCUCAAAUUCUAACCUACUACGAACGAGGUAUAAAUUAACAUUAAAUAUUUGUUUUUAUAAAUAAAAGAUCAUAUUUAGAUCUUGAAAGUAUGUUUUUGGAGUGAUAAAAUGGAGGAAAAAAAAAUAAACCAGAG